GUGGGGAAUAUUGGACAAUGGGCGAAAGCCUGAUCCAGCCAUGCCGCGUGUGUGAAGAAGGCCUUCGGGUUGUAAAGCACUUUAAGCGGGGAGGAAGUACUUGGGGCUAAUACCCCUGAGUGUUGACGUUACCCGCAGAAUAAGCACCGGCUAACUCUGUGCCAGCAGCCGCGGUAAUACAGAGGGUGCAAGCGUUAAUCGGAAUUACUGGGCGUAAAGCGCGCGUAGGCGGUUUGUUAAGUCGGAUGUGAAAUCCCCGGGCUCAACCUGGGCACGGCAUCCGAUACUGGCUGACUAGAGUGUGGGAGAGGAAGGUAGAAUUCCAGGUGUAGCGGUGAAAUGCGUAGAGAUCUGGAGGAAUACCGAUGGCGAAGGCAGCCUUCUGGCCUAACACUGACGCUGAGGUGCGAAAGCAUGGGGAGCAAACAGGAUUAGAUACCCUAGUAGUCC
rnacentral:rRNA from 1 species